UCCGGUUGUUCCUGCCGGAGGUCACUGCUAUUGGAGUCCGAUUAAGCCAUGCGAGUCGAUCGUCCUUCGGGGCGAGGCGUACUGCUCAGUAACACGUGGAUAACCUACCCUCAGGUGGGGGAUAAUCUCGGGAAACCGAGCAUAAUACCCCAUAGGUCUAGGAUACUGGAAUGUUUCUAGGCUCAAAGUUCCGGCGCCUGAGGAUGGGUCUGCGGCCUAUCAGGUAGUAGUGAGGGUAACGGCCUCACUAGCCGACGACGGGUACGGGCCUUGGGAGAGGUAGCCCGGAGAUGGAUUCUGAGACACGAAUCCAGGCCCUACGGGGCGCAGCAGGCGCGAAAACUGCGCAAUGUGCGCAAGCGCGACGCGGGGACUUCAAGUGCCGUUGUCGCUUCGGUGAUGACGGCUGUUUUGAUGCCUAAAAAGCAUUUAGAGUAAGGGCUGGGUAAGACCGGUGCCAGCCGCCGCGGUAAUACCGGCAGCCCAAGUGGUGAUCACUAUUAUUGGGUCUAAAACGUCCGUAGCCGGCCUGGUAAAUCCUUCGGUAAAUCGAACGGCUUAACCGUUCGGCCUCGUGGGAGACUGCUAGGCUUGGGACCGGGAGAGGUUAGAGGUACUCCUGGGGUAGGGGUGAAAUCCUGUAAUCCUAGGGGGACCACCAGUGGCGAAGGCGUCUAACUUGAACGGGUUCGACGGUAAGGGACGAAAGCCAGGGGCGCGAACGGGAUUAGAUACCCCGGUAGUCCUGGCCGUAAACGCUGCGGGCUUGGUGUUGGGGGUCCUACGAGGGCGCCCAGUGCCGGAGCGAAGGUGUUAAGCCCGCUACCUGGGGAGUACGACCGCAAGGUUGAAACUUAAAGGAAUUGGCGGGGGAGCAC
rnacentral:rRNA from 1 species